UGCUCCCGGAUGUUAGCGGCGGACGGGUGAGUAACACGUGGGUAACCUGCCUGUAAGACUGGGAUAACUCCGGGAAACCGGAGCUAAUACCGGAUAGUUCCUUGAACCGCAUGGUUCAAGGAUGAAAGACGGUUUCGGCUGUCACUUACAGAUGGACCCGCGGCGCAUUAGCUAGUUGGUGGGGUAAUGGCUCACCAAGGCGACGAUGCGUAGCCGACCUGAGAGGGUGAUCGGCCACACUGGGACUGAGACACGGCCCAGACUCCUACGGGAGGCAGCAGUAGGGAAUCUUCCGCAAUGGACGAAAGUCUGACGGAGCAACGCCGCGUGAGUGAUGAAGGUUUUCGGAUCGUAAAGCUCUGUUGUUAGGGAAGAACAAGUGCGAGAGUAACUGCUCGCACCUUGACGGUACCUAACCAGAAAGCCACGGCUAACUACGUGCCAGCAGCCGCGGUAAUACGUAGGUGGCAAGCGUUGUCCGGAAUUAUUGGGCGUAAAGGGCUCGCAGGCGGUUUCUUAAGUCUGAUGUGAAAGCCCCCGGCUCAACCGGGGAGGGUCAUUGGAAACUGGGAAACUUGAGUGCAGAAGAGGAGAGUGGAAUUCCACGUGUAGCGGUGAAAUGCGUAGAGAUGUGGAGGAACACCAGUGGCGAAGGCGACUCUCUGGUCUGUAACUGACGC
rnacentral:rRNA from 1 species